rfam:Podospora anserina genomic DNA, chromosome 6.
GGGCGUAUGGUCAAGUGGUUACGACGUCUCAUUUGCAUUAAUUAAUGCCUGUUGCUUUCUCUACAUUGCUCCCGAAGCGGUCAAAAGGUGGUGACUAUCAUUACAACCAUGCUCCAUGUGAAGGUCCCGGGUUCGAACCCCGGUGCGUCCA